rnacentral:rRNA from 1 species
CACGUAGGCGGUCUGUUAUGUCGGAUGUGAAAGCCCUUGGCUUAACUAAGGAAGUGCAUCCGAAACUGGCAGGCUAGAGUACUAAAGAGGGUCGCGGAAUUCCCGGUGUAGAGGUGAAAUUCGUAGAUAUCGGGAGGAACACCGGUGGCGAAGGCGGCGACCUGGGUAGAUACUGACGCUGAGGUGCGAAAGCGUGGGGAGAAGCA